rnacentral:rRNA from 1 species
UACGUAGGGGGCAAGCGUUGUCCGGAUUUACUGGGUGUAAAGGGCGCGCAGGUGGGUCGGUAAGUCAGAGGUGAAAUCCUGCAGCUUAACUGCAGAACUGCCUUUGAUACUGCUGAUCUUGAGUUCAGAAGAGAUAAGCGGAAUUCCAGGUGUAGUAGUGAAAUACGUAGAUAUCUGGAAGAACACCGGUGGCGAAGGCGGCUUAUUGGUCUGAAACUGACACUCAGGCGCGAAAGCGUGGGUAGCGAACAGG